GUGCAGGCCAGAAGUCAAAUAGUCACAGAAAAGUGUUUGGUGGCAGCUGACAUCAGAAAUAUGUAAUAUAUUAUUUCCAUCAUGCUCCCAUAUCUUCAGUAUCGCAACGCCAGUCAGCAGAAAGGAGAGAAUGAGCCAGAAAGUGACUGUCAAGGUGCCAUUUCAAGCCUAUAAAGUUGCAACAGUUGCUUCUUAGGAUAAAACGUGUAGAAGGCAGAAGUAAAAUAUAAGGUUACAAUUGUCCAAGCUUGUUGAAGGAACAGAAUGUGUACUAAAACUGAGUAGGGGACUGUCAGCCUAUGGAGACCGUCUCAGUGACCUCAAGAGGAAACAAACAAACAAAAGAACUGGAAAACCACUUCAGUGGAGGCAUGCAGGCAAUAUUUUUAGCAAUCAGACAUGAUAGAAACAUAAUGUAUUAAUGGUCUUCCAUGUGUCUAUGUGGAAAUCAGUAAACCUUAAUUUUUACAAACAAAUUAUACCUUAUAAUGCACAAUUAUACUUGCAAACUGUAUAACCGCUUCUCCCUUUUGCAUGUAA